UAGAGUUUGAUCCUGGCUCAGAACGAACGCUGGCGGCGCGUCUUAAGCAUGCAAGUCGAACGGCAAGAAAGGAGCUUGCUCCUUUCCUAGAGUGGCGGACUGGUGAGUAACACGUGGGUAACCUGCCCUUGAGAUGGGGAUAGCCAUUAGAAAUAGUGGAUAAUACCGAAUACGCUUUAUGAUAGACAACUAUUAUAGAGGAAAGCAGGCUUUGGCCUGGCUCAAGGAUGGGCCCGCGUCCCAUUAGCUAGUUGGUGUGGUAACGGCACACCAAGGCAACGAUGGGUAUCCGGCCUGAGAGGGUGUACGGACACAUUGGGACUGAGAUACGGCCCAAACUCCUACGGGAGGCAGCAGCUAAGAAUAUUCCGCAAUGGGGGGAACCCUGACGGAGCGACGCCGCGUGGAUGAAGAAGGCCGGAAGGUUGUAAAAUCCUUUUCUAGAUGAAGAAUAAGUAUAGGAGGGAAUGCCUGUACGAUGACAAUAGUCUAGGAAUAAGCCCCGGCUAACUACGUGCCAGCAGCCGCGGUAACACGUAGGGGGCAAGCGUUGUUCGGAAUUAUUGGGCGUAAAGGGCAUGUAGGCGGUUUAGAAAGCCUGGUGUGAAAUCCUGCAGCUUAACUGUAGAAUAGCAUUGGGAACUAUUAGACUUGAAUCACGGAGGGGAAACUAGAAUUCCAGGUGUAGGGGUGGAAUCUGUAGAUAUCUGGAAGAAUACCGGUGGCGAAGGCGGGUUUCUAGCCGAUGAUUGACGCUGAGGUGCGAAAGUGUGGGGAGCAAACAGGAUUAGAUACCCUGGUAGUCCACACAGUAAACG
rnacentral:rRNA from 1 species